rnacentral:rRNA from 1 species
GACGAACGCUGGCGGCGCGCUUAACACAUGCAAGUCGAGCGAGAACCAGGGCUUCGGCCCUGGGGACAGCGGCGAACGGGUGAGUAACACGUGGAUAACCUGCCCUCGGCACCGGGAUAGCCCGGGGAAACUCGGAUUAAUACCGGAUGGCCCUUCCGACUCUCGAGUCGGUCCGAAAAGGUAGCUUCGGCCUCUGGCCGAGGAUGGGUCCGCGGCGGAUUAGCUUGUUGGUGGGGUAACGGCCUACCAAGGCUU